CUAAGACAUGCUAGUCGUGCGCCUCCAAGCCAUGGUGGAGGCGCGGCGCACAGCUCAGUAACACGUGGUUAACCUGCCCUUGGGACGGAAACACCCCCGGGAAACUGGGGCUAAUUUCUGAUAGGUGAAGACUCCUGGAAUGGAUCUUCGCCUAAAGGGCGCUUAGGCCAUGCUUCUAGGCGCUGCCCAAGGAUGGGGCCGCGGCCGAUCAGGUUGUUGGUGAGGUAAUGGCUCACCAAGCCUUUAACCGGUUCGGGCCGUGGGAGCGGGAGCCCGGAGAUGGGCACUGAGACAAGGGCCCAGGCCCUACGGGGCGCAGCAGUCGCGAAAACUCCGCAAUACGCGAAGGCGUGACGGGGCUAUCCCGAGUGCCGUCCGCUGAGGAUGGCUUUUCCCCAGUGUAGAUAGCUGGGGGAAUAAGGAGAGGGCAAGUCUGGUGUCAGCCGCCGCGGUAAUACCAGCUCUCCGAGUGGUGGGGAUGUUUAUUGGGCCUAAAGCAUCCGUAGCUGGCUGGGCAAGUCCUCCGUUAAAUCCAGCGAUUUAAUCGUUGGCCUGCGGGGGAUACUGUCCGGCUUGGAGGCGAGAGAGGCCGACGGUAUUCUCGGGGUAGGGGUGAAAUCCUAUAAUCCCGAGAGGACCACCAGUGGCGAAGGCUGUCGGCUAGAACGCGCUCGACGGUGAGGGAUGAAAGCUGGGGGAGCGAACCGGAUUAGAUACCCGGGUAGUCCCAGCUGUAAACGAUGCAGGCUAGGUGUUAGGGCGGCUACGCGCCGCUCUAGUGCCGCAGGGAAACUGUUUAGCCUGCCGCCUGGGGAGUACGGCCGCAAGGCUGAAACUUAAAGGAAUUGGCGGGGGAGCACCACAAGGGGUGAAGCUUGCGGUUUAAUUGGAUUCAAGCGCCGG
rnacentral:rRNA from 1 species